rnacentral:rRNA from 1 species
GACGAACGCUGGCGGCGUGCCUAAUACAUGCAAGUCGAGCGAAUCAAUAGGAGCUUGCUCCUGUUGAUUAGCGGCGGACGGGUGAGUAACACGUGGGCAACCUGCCUGUAAGACUGGGAUAACUUCGGGAAACCGGAGCUAAUACCGGAUAAUUCUUUUCCUCUCAUGAGGAAAAGCUGAAAGUCGGUUUCGGCUGACACUUACAGAUGGGCCCGCGUCGCAUUAGCUAGUUGGUGAGGUAACGGCUCACCAAGGCGACGAUGCGUAGCCGACCUGAGAGGGUGAUCGGCCACACUGGGACUGAGACACGGCCCAGACUCCUACGGGAGGCAGCAGUAGGGAAUCUUCCGCAAUGGACGAAAGUCUGACGGAGCAACGCCGCGUGGGCGAUGAAGGCCUUCGGGUCGUAAAGCUCUGUUGUUAGGGAAGAUCAAGUAUCGGAGUAACUGCCGGUACCUUGACGGUACCUAACCAGAAAGCCACGGCUAACUACGUGCCAGACGCCGCGGUAA